rnacentral:rRNA from 1 species
GACGUAGGAGGCGAGCGUUGUCCGGAUUCAUUGGGCGUAAAGAGCGCGCAGGCGGCUUGGUAAGUCGGAUGUGAAAACCCGAGGCUCAACCUCGGGCGUGCAUCCGAUACUGCUCGGCUAGAGGUAGGUAGGGGAGAUCGGAAUUCCUGGUGUAGUGGUGAAAUGCGUAGAUAUCGGGAGGAACACCAGUGGCGAAGGCGACUUCCUGGCCUGUUCUUGACGCUGAGGCGCGAAAGCUAGGGGAGCAAACGGG